AGAGUUUGAUCAUGGCUCAGGACGAACGCUGGCGGCGCGCUUAACACAUGCAAGUCGUACGGGGUCCUUCGGGGCCCAGUGGCGAACGGGUGCGUAACACGUGAGCAACCUGCCCAUGCAUGGGGGAUAACCCGGGGAAACCCGGGCUAAUACCGCAUACGUUCUCGCUUCCGCAUGAGGGCGAGAGGAAAGCACCUGCAAGGGUGCGUGCGUGGAGGGGCUCGCGGCGUAUCAGCUAGCUGGUGGGGUAACGGCUCACCAGGGCGACGACGCGUAGCCGAUCUGAGAGGAUGAUCGGCCACAUUGGGACUGAGAUACGGCCCAGACUCCUACGGGAGGCAGC
rnacentral:rRNA from 1 species